GCUGGUGCAGCUUAUACUGACCAGUCAAAAAUUGAGAAAAGAAAAAGUAAGAAGGAAAGAUCAGAGCUUGCCACAAAUUCAGCUCUUCCCGAGCACAUCCAUCCUCUCUUCCCAUCAGUUUAGGACCUGGCAAUCCGGACUACUAUCUCUCCCUCCCUCUACACACACCAUUUUUGCCUCCACCUUCCAGUUUACGUUUGCACAGUUCAUCGGGUCUUCGCCUGAACGCCACUGCCGGUGGUGUCGCUGGCUCAAACAGAAGUGGAUCCAAAUUGGAAAAUUACACGUGUUCAUUCCUUGAGGACUUGAAGCAUCCACUCACCAGUCAAAAACAAAACUGGCAAACGUGGAGAGUCAAUUCCCCAUUCAAAAGGUCAGCACAAGCAACGCUACAAAGCUUCUAAAUUGGAGUUGGAGCUAUAUUGCAAUCUUUUUGCAGGAGAGAUCUUUUUCCUCUGAGGCAGCUCAUAUCAACCAAGUCAAAAAGAACAAAAAGAAAGAAGCCAGAGAUUGCCGAAUGCAAUGGAAGAUGCGCAAGAGGAUGGCCGCAUCUCUCCAACUUCAUCACCACCAACACCGCCAUCACCUCUUCCGAUAAGUACAGGACCUGGCAAUCAAAAAUACUAUUUCUCACCAUCUCCUUCUCCAUCCCCGCCAUUUUCACCACCGCAGUCCAGUCAUACAUCUGCAGAAAACCUCCCUCUUCUGCAGGAGUCAUCUGGUCCUACACGAACGCCGCCUUUGGCAUUUUCCUUGGACCGUAAACGAGCUGAUGAAGAGGAGGAUUCCAAAAGUUCAUGCCUUAAGGACUUGUUGGAGUGGUUUGUUCGAAGAUGCUGCAACUGCUACAUUGAGUCUUAAAUUUUGAGGAAUCACCAGCUACAGUAGCUACGGCGAGAGAUUGUUUGUCACCAUUAUUUUUGGGAUUUUUACAAUUUCUCAGGAUCAAUUAGAUUCUUCUAACCGGAGACCUGACUCAUACGUCAGAGAUUGUAAACUUUACAUGUUCAUGUUUUAACUGCCCAUACGAACAAAAACAUCAAAUUUGUUUUAGGAAAUGCUCAAAUUUGACCAAAAAUGAAGAGAGAAUCGCAAGGGAA